UACGUAGGGUGCAAGCGUUAAUCGGAAUUACUGGGCGUAAAGCGUGCGCAGGCGGUUUUGUAAGUCUGACGUGAAAUCCCCGGGCUCAACCUGGGAAUUGCGUUGGAGACUGCAAGGCUAGAAUCUGGCAGAGGGGGGUAGAAUUCCACGUGUAGCAUUGAAAUGCGUAGAGAUGUGGAGGAACACCGAUGGCGAAGGCAGCCCCCUGGGUCAAGAUUGACGCUCAUGCACGAAAGCGUGGGGAGCAAACAGG
rnacentral:rRNA from 1 species